ensembl:lncRNA
GUAAAUUAUAAUGAGGCUUGAAGUUAUGUAUAAUCGGACUGUACCAGGUCGCAAACUGUCUGCUCAGCUCCAUCACAAACCAUUGGAAAUACCAGACGGCGAACUAACCUAAAGCACGCGGCGGAUUAAUACGUUCUGAACAGCCGGAUCACAAACGUGACCUUGACCUCAUCACGCAGUACGUCGGCUCAGCGAACCAAGUGGGGGAUGAAUAUCGUUAACCAGCGAGACGAUGAACGCGAGUCGACAGCUCGGAAAAGAAAGAGAGCCUGAGGUGAGUGGAUCCAUAAAAAAUAUCAUUCAACCCAGUUAGUAAAUGUAAAGAAAGUUGUUGUCAUUUUAAUAUAUCAGGUUAGUUUAAUGCAGUUGUUCCAAUAUGGCAAAUAGUACCGUGUUGAAGUAUCGUCAGCUAACCAUUGAGCCGCUUAAAUCCCGAUAACCAGCCGAUGGAGCAGUUGUUGAACAAUAGUAUAUAAAGUCCUAUCAUUAUUAAUGUUUCAUUGGACAUUUAGAAAAAUAUAAUUUAAUCAAGCCAACGUUCAUGUAAUCUUUAAUUAAUGAUGGACGUAGUGGCUAAAAUGUCUACAGUUGUUUCGGGCGGACGCGCGCUCUGUGUCCGCUGGUGUGCGCGCUCACGGACACGUGCCGUGUUCUGCCUCAUCUGUACAAUCUCUCUCCUCCCGCUCAAUGCGGCCUAUCGGAGGGACGCCUUUUACGGCUACUUGUCCUGCACCAUCCCGCCACUGGUCGUUGUAUCGGUGGCUGAGAACAAGACUAACCGUGACUUUGGAGCGACCCGGAUGUACCUGCGGGGAAGACGGGCUGCGGUAAAAGUGUAACCCUCAAACAGAUCACUUGAUGGUUGGCGAUGGAGGCCAGUUGCACACCUGCUGCAGGACGGCUGGCUGGAAACGGGUCUGCCGAGGUCACUGACCUCCGCACCGCUGUCAAGGAUGAUGUAAGAUUAGCGGUCUUAUCCGUGUUUCUCCACCAUCAAAUGCGUGGUCCAUGCUAAAAAGUCCAGCAUUAAAUACAUCUGUAAUGACUGUCAUAAAUAACGUGAACACAGUUAAAUAUAAGUAAAUCUAUGGUUUAAAUACAUUAAUCCGCACGUUUACUCUGCGUCUCCUUGAACUGUCUCUGCUCUGCCUUCACUGACACAAUGCGUGAAAGGUAAAUAUCUGAUCCAUGAGCAACGAGUGUGUGUAUUGUCAACUAUUGGUGCUAACACAUCCCGUCGGACCAGGAUUUAUUUAUUUAUAUCCAUUAAUUAACUUUUUAACGCUGGCAUCCCAGGCGGAUUUCUAGCAUAAACGUUACUGCCGUUAACUCUUACUGUGAAAAUCUGCGUACUUCCGGUUUAGCAGCUCCGCUUCGUAUUUUCGUUUUAUGGGCAAAACUCCAAAAGGGAUUAAAGGCUGGCGCAUGCUUCUGCGUCGACGCACUCGUUUCAAUUCAUGGUUCUAAAAGGCUUGCGCGUGUUGCAGAGCAAUUCACCGCCAGAACAACAGGCGGAUUAACGUGUUUUUGUUGAAGACGACCUAGAGAGUCACGUCUAUUUAUUUAUUUGUUUAUUUAUUUAUCAUAGACUUUAUUGCCCCGUGCAUCGCCACUGCUGCUUUUCUACACAAACACAUUUGUCCCGUAUUUUCCUCCACAACUUUGUGCACCUCUCGUCCGGCGUUUGCGGCGAUUUCCCUCCGUGAAUCCAACCCGCUUCUACAACCCGCCAAUGACGGGUUGUAUAAGCGGUCAUAUUUACGCAUUUCUUCCGACAAAAGUUCUUCAAUCUGAUCCGUUCUCUCGUAAACAUUCUUCGUUUUAACAAUGGCGGUAUCGCGCUAUGAAUGCAAAAUGUGAGACUCUGUAAAGGAUGUAGUUAGCAGACCAAUCGCAGCCUUGUGCGCUGCGGGAGGCUUGCGUUGCUUGCGUUGAAAGCGACGCAAGCCUAGAAAAAUGGCUCGACACACGCAAGGACGCAAGGAGGUGUGAAAAGCGACGAAAGGGACACGCAAGGGGCUCUUGCGUCUGCGUCGCUCUGAAAACGCAGAAGCAUAAACUAGGCUUAACGGAGUAAAAAGUUGUGAGUUUGUCUCGUUUUUUGGUUCUAAAGGAAAAACGAAUCUAAAACUUACCGUUUUAGAUUUAAAACGAGAAAACGACCGCCCACUUCCGUUUUACCGUUUUUGAUUAAAAACGGAAAACGAGUGUUUUCGUUUUCUGGUUUUUACGGUAAAAGGGACUAUCAACACGUACAAGGACCGGUAAAUUAUGGUUGUAGCUGGUUGUCAUCUACGGUCCACUACGGUUACAGAGAGGUGUCGUUUGUGUUUUGACAACGUUUUAUCUCAUAAUUUCGACCUUCUAUCCCCUUUCUUUAGAGCGGAAAUGGGCUUCUAUAGUUCUGUGAAUGCAUAACUCCAAUCCAAAAACGGGGUUUGUAACCAAUUAGAUGUAGAGAUACCAUGAUGGCUGGCUCCGCCCCCUUACUGUCAAAAAGAACAACAGCGAACGCGUAGAAAACACCUUUGAACGCGAGCAGAGAUUAGCCUCGCAAGCAAGGAGCAAAUAUCUCGCGCAAGACAGACUUUUGCCACGGAUGUUUGAUUUACGCGCGCGCAUAAACCUGAUUUGCGCUCUCGAAUUUUGACAGUGAUUUGCCGCCAUAAAUAUUUCUCAUGUGGGAUCACCUGCUUGAAACUGUUUAUUUAUUUAAUUGUUUGUCUCACUGUGUGGACUAUCAAUUGAUUUUAUUUUGUACAGCCCAAAAUCGCAAACAGUCUGUACACAUACAACAUCCUCUGUCCCAAAACCCACACAUCGACACAGGAAAAACUCCCCAAAAAAAGGAUAAUGUGGAUUUAUGAUGAUUAAUAUGAGUAAUAUGAUUAAUAUUUAAAAUAAUGAGGAUGAUGGCAGCAGCAGGUGUCAGCAGGGCCACUGCAGGUGUCAGGACCAGGGUCUAGAAGGAACUACAAUCUACGGAGACCUGCUAGGGGAGAAAUCACAAACUAUGAAUUAGUCAUGUGCAUUAAUAAAACGUGGAUUAUGGUAGAAAGAGAGUGAGAGAGGAGCUUGGUGUAUCCCCCGGCAGUCUAAAACUAAAGCAGCUUAACUAAGGGCUGGUCCGGGCUAACCUGAGCCAGCCCUAACUAUAAGCAAUAUAGCAAUAUAGAGGAAAGUUGUAUGCUUUAUUAGCAUAUACAGUAUAUUGACAUAGUGACAUAUUUAUAAGAAGUUAACCAGGUGCUUUAGAGUUUUGCUGGUAAUUUGUGUCGAUUAAACUUAUGUAGCCCAGUGGGAAAACUAGGUUCACCACUAAGGCCACUAGAGGGCGCUGUACUCCUGAGACAGCUAGCGAAAUGUGACGGGGGGAAACAGGAAGUGAAAUUCGUUCUUUUGCAUGUGCCUGUCCUGUGGAGCGGUGGAUGUUUUGUGAGUAAAUACAUAUUGAAUGCCAUCUCUGUACAAAUUACAUUUGAUUCUAAAUGCACCAUGUUGUUUUGGUUGGUCUGAUGUUUUCAGAUGUUCAUGUGUUGAGCGUUCAUGUGAGCGCUACGAGGCUUGACGCUCUGAACUUUUCACCAUGCUAUGCAUUCUGUUAUUAUUUUAAGAGUUUGAUUUCAGAAGUAACUGUGUGGUACUGUUUGUUUUCUUUCUUUUAUUAUAUUAGCUGGAGGGUUAUCAAUGCAGUUAUUUGUGUGCAGAAAAUAUAAAUAAGCUUAUUUGUGAAAUGUUAAAAAAGGACAAUCGAAAUCUGAAAUUCAUUUGUACUCAUAAAAUUGAACACUUUUAACACUGCUCUCUAACAAAAGAGUAGUUGAGAAAUAAAGACCCCUAAAUAUAGUGUGGUGUCCGGUGUCACUCAAUUUCACACGCCUACACUUAUAUUUAAAGUUAAUGUUGACUGGACUGUUAACACGCUAUAUGUUAGAAGCAGCAUAACCCCUUUUUAUAUGAACACCAUAUUUCCCCCUCCCCCUGCAUACAUUUGCAUUGCGCAAUAAUAUUUAUGUAAAUCCGAUUGUGUCUCGACGCAAGAAACAAAUUUGAACUUUUUUUUUAAAGCAAAAAAGGAACAAGAUCACAAAUAGAUAAACCAAUUUUUACUUAAGCAAGCUGAGC